ensembl:lncRNA
GCCGCUUUUAUUCAAAUUCUGUAAGUUCAUGAACAAAAAUUACUUAGAAGAUUUUCAUUGAGUUUGGGCAUAUUUUCUUUCUUCAGCAGGAUUCUAACCUUUCCAUGUCUAAGGUUUAUAGCUUCAGCCGUACUUGAUUUAUAUAAGCAAAAAGAAAAACCUUAGCAGUAUUUUUUAUAACUGCAGAAGCAUAUUUAUUCCAUUUUCACAUAACUCACACAUAGCUAGACAGAUUCUGCUUAAGCCUUCAAAAGAAAUUCCAUUUUAGACUAGACACUAAUGUGGAAAACUGGAGACCACAUGACUUCACGUAUCUAGAAGAGACACUGGAGGCAAUCGGGAAGGAAUUCGGUGGUGUGGUCCUUCCACAGUGAGAGGUAAAGCCAUUGAUGAGGAAAUUUCUGAGAAAAAUCCAGGAAAGAAAGACCCGGAGGUGUGAGAUCACAGUGACUUGAUUCAGGGCAGAAGACAUCUUUAUGUGCAUGCUGAGGGAUGUUGUGGAUCUUGUAGACUGCGUAACCAUCUUUGGGCAAGUUACCCAUGACUUCAUCUGGAUUGAAAAUGACAGGACAUCCCGAUGUGAAGUGACUAAGAGGAGAGCAGUAGGCAGCCUGGCAUCCUCCCAUUCCUCAUGCAGAAGAGGGGGACUUCUCUGCAGAGGAGGAAAAACAAGGCAUCCUAGCUCUCCUGUCUGAUUAGCAUCUACACCCCAUGGCUGCAGGGGGCGACGGUGGAAAGCUUGAACUCGGGCCAGAGAGCAUCACUAGACGUGGAGUGGCUGCUCUUUGCUGAAUGCUCCUAGGCUAGCCAUCUGUGGAAGACACUCUGCAUACACACGAGGAAGUAGCGGCUCCCUGAUACUGUGGACCACGAAGGUAAGCAAGCGAUCCACGGUCCACACUGCAGGUGGUGAUGAGCUCCAUGCUCCCGAGGGCAGACUGUACUAAAUGCAUUUUCAGAGCCUGAUAGUUUCAUUUUAGGAUGCAUAUAUUGGGAAAUAGUCCCAUCAUAAAUCAGGGAGGAAGUGUGUUUACCUCUGCCAAGGAUUUGUGAACUAGUGAGAGAGAAGCAGGAACCUUUGGGACUGGAAUGAGGGGUAUACCAAGAUUCCAGGUUCCACAGCAGCAGAAGUUCCAGCAGGAGCAUCCGUGCUGGUGUUAGAGAGGAGAGUGGAAGCUUAUGUAGCAGUGGUUGAAAACUAUGGUGAGUGUUACAUUGAAAAGAAUAUGAUAAAAGACACAUUGCCCUUAAUCCCCCUAAAAUACUCUCCCUCACACCAAACACACCCUUCUUACCACUUCCUCCAGUUCCUGGAGUCCUCCUGCACGAGUGUGUUUAGGUGGGAUCAAAAUCACAAUGAGAGGUGCUGCCGAGCGCCGUCCAGGGGAAAGGCAGACUCAUAAAGCCUUAUCCCUGGGCCUGGCACCAGGCAACUUCCAGCAGUAACCCAAAGUCAGAGCGACUGCGAGUGGUAGGUGUUUGGAGCUGAUUCAGGACAACCACAGCAGACACCGCAGCACAACUAAAGAUGCACACAAAACAGGAUGUCCAGAGCUGCUUCCGAAAGGGGCUAUUUUAAUGGUGGGAAACUUUAAGUCCUAACCCACAGUUUAUGGGUUGUGCAGCAAUGAAAGAGACUCCUGCAGAACUAGAACAGAGAUAACAUUCUCCAGAGGCCCUGGACUGGACAGUUACUGCUCGCCAAAGGGACUUUGUAAUGCCUUGAUCUGAGGACAGCACAUGGGAGUAUACCUUUGUGAAGUGGAGACUGAUCUAUGAAAGAGAAAUAUAUUUGUUGUUUGCAUGUUUAGGAUUGUGGGUGAUCUCCCAACAGCAAGAGGUUAUGGAGGAGAUCGCUUCUGCAAAGGAAAAGAAGAAAAAGGCAGAAGAACCCCUCACUUCACUACUCCACUGUGUAUGAACAAAGUGCUCUCAGAAAUCACACACAAAUAAAGGAAAAUGUAUGUGAAGAGCAGUGGAGCAUUUCUACUUACCAUGGAAAUGAAAGCAGGUAUCUUCCUGAAGAGAUGAGGACAUCAUAUGGCACUGACACAUGCACACCCACAGUAGAAUAAGAAAGAUGGAACACUAUUGAAAAGCUCUUCCACCAAGGAGUCUCAAGAAAAUAUUGGAAGGAGUUGGCACUUUAAAAAUCUAUAUAAGUUGAGCCUGGUGUUACAGGCCUGGAACCACAGUAUCCUGAGUGGCUGAGGGAGGAAUACGUCAAGUUUGAGCCUAGCUGGAGCAACUUGGUCCACUCACUCAGCUUGGGUACCUGGGGUCAUAUGGACUCAGGAAGAUAAUUGGUGUAGGGCAUUGAAUGAGGAAGUAGUGCCCCAACUGAGGGAUCAGAGAGAAAGCUGUUGCGUCCUAUGAGAUGGAAGGGUGAGGACUGGAGGGAUGACAGAGGAACGAAGAGAAGACAGAGGAGCAAAGAGAAGACAGAGGAGCAAAGAGAAGACAGCGGAUCCAAGAGAAGCAGAGCGCCUGCCAGAUCAACCUGGAAUAGGCUCUGUGUUGAAGUGGGAAUAGUAAUGAUGCUUGGUUUCUUCUUGUCUUACUCUACCAACUUCCUUUUCCUACCUAUCAGCGUCAGUGCCUCCAAGAUUGACUCAUGGAGAGAGAGG